rnacentral:rRNA from 1 species
UAGGGAAUUUUCGGCAAUGGGGGAAACCCUGACCGAGCAACGCCGCGUGUGCGAUGAAGGUCUUCGGAUCGUAAAGCACUGUUGUAAAGGAAGAAUAGCCAUAUUAGAAAUAUGGUCUGACGGUACUUUAUCAGAAAGCCACGGCUAACUACGUGCCAGCAGCCGCGGUAAUACGUAGGUGGCGAGCGUUAUCCGGAAUUAUUGGGCGUAAAGGGUGCGUAGGCGGCAUGUUAAGUUUGUGGUGAAAGCGUGGGGCUCAACCCCAUUAAGCCACAGAUACUGGCAAGCUAGAGUGCAGAAGAGGGUAGUGGAAUUCCAUGUGUAGCGGUAAAAUGCGUAGAUAUAUGGAGGAACACCAGUGGCGAAGGCGGCUACCUGGUCUGUAACUGACGCUCAGGCACGAAAGCGUGGGGAGCAAAUAGG